CGGCUCUAGCUACGCUCCGGGCUCAGUGUGAACAGCGAGAGAGAGAGAGAUCCUUUCUGUGUGCUUCGAACUACAUGACCUUGCCUGCACGUACGCGUAGAGCUUUGGCACUGGGCAGCGCGCGGGCGCGCGCGCGCAGGGGGAUGUCUGCUCUGAGAGUCUCUGUGUAGACAGAGAGAGCCGGACAGCUUGUAUUUCAGUGUGCUUUGAACUACACGCACAAGCCUGCUAAAAGCUGACUGCUUGUCUUUCUGUGAGAUUGAAAAGGCUGGAUCUCUGCUAGAGAUGAUGAAUAUUACCUGGCUGGGAGAAUGAUUGCUGUUUCCAAUGUACAUGGUGGGCCAUGACCAUGUUUCCUUUGAAAAGACCUCUUCUACUACGUUGCUAAUUACCCUGCCUUUGAAGCCACUAUCAGUGACAUCAUGAAUGAAGACAUCAAACCAUCUCAGCUGGAGUUAAUAAGUUCUUAAAGGCAAAGUGUAAUCACUUGCACCCUGUUUCAGGGGGUCCACCUUUCCUGAAGAAGUCCUACAAAUCCUGGUCACAUACAGGAAGAGGUGUUCAGUCUACAGCAUGAACCAGGUGAAGGCGGAGCUCUAGAGCUGUAGCUUAAGACCAGGUAGCUGCAGAGCCAUGGCAGAGGCUACUUUUUAAAAAGAUUUUCUUUAUCUCAUUUGUUCUUA